GCCGGGCGCGGUGGCUCACGCCUGUAAUCCCAGCACUUUGGGAGGCUGAGGCGGGAGGAUCACUUGAGGUCAGGAGUUCGAGACCAGCCUGGCCAACAUGGUGAAACCCCGUCUCUA
rnacentral:SRP_RNA from 1 species